rnacentral:pre_miRNA from 1 species
AUCACCUAGGGAUCUUGUUAAAAGGCAGAUUCUGAUUCAGUAGGCCUGGGGUGAGGCCUGAGCAUCUGCAUUUCUCACAAGCUCCCUGGAGAUGCCCA